CCCUGAUGUUUAGUCAGAAUUUCCUUUCUUGUAACUUGAAGCCAUUGACUUGAGUCCUACUGUCAAGAGCUGGAGAAAACAAGCAUGCUCCCUUAAAAUAUUUGAAGAUGGCUAGCAUAUCUCCUUCCAGUCUCCUCUUUUCCAGGCUAAACAUACCCAGCUUC